AGACACUCUCAAGGUGGCAUCUAAAAAAGCCUCUCCUAUCAAGCAACUGUAUAGCUGUCUUGCCAAAAGCUGCAGGGACAAGAGGUGCUCCAGACCUAUGAACCUUGCCAUGUGCACCAGCAGCCAUCUCCAGUGCCAGAGAAGACCUCAAGCCACAGCCUGCUGGCCAACCGCUUCACCUGCUUGCCUGCCAUGUGCCAAAGGGAUGUGUCCCUUAUAAAGCAGUCUAGUGGAAGCCAUCAUAUUCCUCUUAGAGAAAAAUAUACAACCUCUCUGACCUGGGAAGUGAGUCACGCAAAGCAAACCACUUGAAAGGAUCAUGAUAACACACACCUGAAUAAAAACAAAGAGGAACUUAGAUCACAUUGUGAACUCCAGUUGUUUUGUGCCUCAUUAA